AAGCCAGCAUCAACGUCCCCAGUCAAGGACCUGCCCCAGUUUUAUGCCUGCUGGAGUUCUAGAGAAGCUGGAGUGCAAGCUGCCUUUCUCUUACAAGAGAUUCUGUUUGCUGGGAUCUGAGCAACACCGGCAGCACACUGUGACUGACUUCCCCCAGCCAAGUCAGCUGGAGCCCUGCUACUGAUUCCUGCAGAAUUCUGUGAGUUCCCUGCGUGUUCUUUAAAGGUAGAUAUCUCUAUAUUUUCUUAAUAUACAAUAAUAAUCUGAGUUUCAUACAGUGUGUUUUUGCC
rnacentral:lncRNA from 1 species